UAAAUUCAAUAAUACAAUAAAUCUAAAUAAUAUCCAACAUAUCAUAAGUUCAUAAUUAUGACACCAAUUAUCAAUAUAACACAUGAAAAUCCUACAAUGUUCAACAACUCAAAAAAUAGAUCAUAAAAGAGUCAAAAUACUCCCAUGCAAAAUAAAUAAAUAACAAGUUCAUGUCUAAUUCCAAAUAAAUAAAUAAAAGUUCAUGUCAUGCUACUUGUUGACGCUUGUGGCUCAUCAUCAUCAUCCGAAAUUACCUCCUCCCCAGUAAAAAUCUCAUCCUCCGGAACUCCACCUUACAACAAAAAUAACACAUUAAAAUUCAAAGCAUUUUAAGCAAAUAAAUACUACUAAAAUAUAAUUCAAAUAACUUUAUACAUCGAAAAGUAGAAGCCCAAAUUCAAUUUUGAGCACACAUUAAGGCUUCCAAAGUGUCAGGAAGAAGUUUACUACGAUGCAGACUUAAAAAUCUGCCCCCGGCACUAAAAGCUGACUCAGAGGCAACGACGUAUAAAAGAAUGGCUAAGAUAUCCUUAGCUAACUCAGCCAAAAUAAGAUAUUGGCUUGUGUGCAUCUUCCAAAAAGAUAAAAUAUCAAAGUCCGGAAUGGAAUCCAAUAAUUCAUCAUCUAAAUACCUAUCCAACUCCAACUUAGUUACCUUAGCACAUUUAUUUUGGCUUUGAAAUGUUUCAAACUCAUCUACAUCCCAAUACUUAUUCGAAUUCGAACAAGAUUCAGAACGAGAAAUUUCCAUUCCAACAUUCUGCCCACCACUCACAUGCGCUGCCUUCAAUUUAUAUUCUUUCACUAAAUUAUAACAAAGCUUAUGUGUACACUCAAUAUGCUCAUCUGCUGUAUCACCAAAUAUCUUUAGGAAAUAAAAAUGAAUUGACAUCAUCUUAUAUCUUGGGUCAAGCACAACAGCCACAACUAACAUCGAAUGAAUUUCAUUCCAAUAUUUGUUAAAUUUAUCAGCCAUUUUAUUAGCCAUAAUCCUAAUAGCAAGGUUAUCAGCAGUGCGCCACCUAUUAAUUAACAAUUUCAUUUUACAUAUCAACAGAAAAAAUAAAUUAGCAGUUGGGUAUUUUGUACCUGAAAACAUCUCCAUUAACAUGUAAAAUGAUUUCAAAUGCUCCACCAUUAUGACUGCCAAAUCCCACUCCUCAUCACUUGGCAAGCUCUUAUACUGAGGCUCACGUUGUUGCAAUCGAGAAAAAACACUUCUAUACAUCAAUGCUACUUCAAGCAUGGCAUAAGUAGAGUUCCAACGAGUAGGACAAUCCAAUUUCAAUUUUUUUUUAUAAUUAAUUUUUAAUUGUCUAGCAGCUAACUUAAAAGUUUCAUAUCUUUUUGGUGUUUGUGUCCAAUAACUCACACUCUCUCUAAUCUUUCCAACCCCACUUUCUAUAACUUUCAACCCAUCCCACACAACCAAGUUCAAUAUAUGAGCAGUACAUCUCACAUGAAAAAAAUUACCACUAGAAAUUAAGGUAUCAGUAUCAAACCUUAACAACAAUUUCUCCACCAUUGCGUCAUUAGUGGUAAAAUUAUCCAAUGUCACUGAGGAUAACUUUCUAUCCACGUUCCAAUCCAAUAGGCAUUGUACUAACUCAUUACAAAAGGCAUCAGUAGUAUGGGGCUUGGCUUGGAACAUAGAUGAACCUAUCAAAUAUUCAAAAGUCGGUAUUAAAUACACAAUCUUAAAAUAUAUUACAAUUUAAACUUGAAAAAAAAAUCUAAUAUAAGUAAUAAAAAACUUAAAAGAAAAAUCAAGCAAAUAAAAAAUAUAGACAAAUUACCUUAAGAUUCGACUAUGCAAUUUCCAGGAAUUGUCAAUAAAAUGGGCUGUCACGACCAUAUAUCCCUUUUUUUGAUUACUAGCUGUCUAUAAAUCUGUAGUAAUGGCCACUCUACCAUGAUUUUUCCCCAAUAAAUGCAAAGUCUUAACCUUCUCGAUUUGAUAUAACUUCAAGAUUUCGCUCUUCAAAGUGUUUCUGCUCAUUGGCUUAACCACAGGGUUAGCAUGUGCCAUCAUUUCUCGAAAGCCUAUAUAUUCCAUGAAUCUAAGUGGAAACUCAUGCAUUAUAACCAUUCUUGCUAUCAAACUCCGUAAAACAUUUUGAUUAAAACUUCCAUAACUAAUGCCACAAGUUCCAUCCUCUCUUUUAAUCACUUUAAGGCUUCCCUGAAGUGCUUCUUCUAUUUUCGGUUGAUUCUUCUUAAAACAAAAUGCCAUGUGUCUAUUCAAAGUUGAAGUUCCAAAUUCGAAUUUUGCUUUUAAAAUUGCACUACAAUGCAUGCACUUUGCCUUUUGUUCUCUAUUUACCAUUAUUUUUAUAACGUGCUCCCAAGCUUUGGAGACUUUUUUUUUUUUUUUAGUUUCUUCCUUACUCUUCUUAUCAUUCACAGUUGACACUGAAAUUUCCUUAACCUCAUUAUUAGUUUUAUCUUCGACAUUACGAGAUAAAUCUGGAGCACUCAAAGAAUUGAUUUUCACGUUGUCCGACAUUGCAUUGCUCUACUGUUACAAUAGCAAAGAUAUACUAAAUUUUAGAUUUUAGUGUGGAAACGAAAAAGUGAACAGAAAAGAGAGACAGAGAGUGUGUGUGUAAAUGUCACCACAAGUCGUAUUUUAGCUUUCAAUUGUUUAAUCACAUAUGUAAAUGUCAAUCUCCUCUAUUCUCUCCUUUUCCAGUUUCAUUAAUUAGCUUAUUUAUAAAAGUCAUUCAACGGACUCUGAAACUUAUCAUUACAUAACUAACAUUGCAACAUAAAAUUAAAAAAGGCACAAGGAUUUGGUCGAAAAAAAAAGAGCAACAGUAAUCACAGGCUCACAGCAACCAUGCACAAAAUUGGUCGAAGAUAAACACGAAUAGCAGCAAAGAAGCAAAAUGAUGUAAACUGUAAUUCUGUAAAGAUUAUGAAUCAGCAAAAAUGCAACUGGGAAGGCAAAAUUUUGAAGGAAAAAAAUCAAUACCUGGGGCUGGUAGUGGUGGCUGUGAUGGCAGAGUGACAGAUUGAUGGUGGAUGAGAAAGUGGCAAUGGAGAGUUGAAGACGGUGGCGUUGACACUGACGGUGCCGGAGGGGGCUGUACUGCACUGUACGAACGACUCACGUCAUAGCCGCAACCGAGCAAAACCGAGUCAGCAAAUGCCAAAUGAGAAGAGAUGAUGUCGAGGGCCGACGGUGACGGACUGAUAGUGGGUACUGGCCGACAGUGACGGUGGGUAGCCAAUGGCAGCGUUGCUGCUUAUGCCUUUGGGUUUGGGUAACUGGGGAAUUAGGGAUUUUUGGAUUUGGGCAUUUGUGUUUUGCGAUUUAGGUAACUGGUUUUAAUUUUUUAGUUUUAUACAUAUUGUUUAAGUUUAUUAAAAAAUUGGGUUUUUGGUGCUAAACUCGGAACCGUGCCCGGAAAUGUCCGGGUUUUAAAUUCUGAAAGCCGAAUCUGCUAACUCGGACCGGAUUGGCCGGGUCCGGGCCGGAUCCGGUUCGGCCGGGUUUUUUUUGACACCCCUAAUAUAAUCAGUUUGUUUUAGCCUUGCAAGGACAUGAACAAAUGUUAUGUAAUGAGCAAGAAGAUAAGAAGCAAUUCGUCAACCAUGAACGAGCCUUUUUCAGCCGGAGAGGAAGAGGUAGAAAUCAGAGGUGUCACUUCAACUCAAGGGGAAUGGGUUUUACGCCAGUAGGAAGGAAUGGAAAUCAAAAUUUUGUGAACCAAAGUCAACAGAACAAUAACAAUUUUCAAAAAUUUCAUGUUGGUAACAACUGUAACAUAAAGAAUGCUAAUCAACAAAACGUGGACCCAGGUGAUAAAAAUAUAUGUCAAAUUUACUUUAAACUAAACAUACAACUUUAAAAUGUCGAAGCAGGUUUGAUCACUCGUGUCAAUCUGGGGAAAUUCCUCAUGCUCUUGUUGCCAUGCAUAUAAAUGACGAAGAUGAUGAUCCUGCAUUCUAUGCUGACUCUGGAGCAACAACUCACAUCACCAACAACUUAAGUAAUACAAGAAAAAUCAUUCUUUAUAAAGGAAAUGAUUCUUUAUAUGUUGGUAAAGGUAAGGGUCUUAAAAUUACACACAUAGGUGAUAUUGUGUUAAAUAUCAAUCAUGGUUGCUUGAACCUAAAAUAUGUGCUCAUUGUUCCCGAUAUUAAAAAGAAUCUGCUAUCAGUAGGGAAAUCAACAACUGACAAUUUGUGUGUUAUUAUUUUCUCAUCAAAUGGUUUCUUGAUUAAGGACAAAUAGGGAAAGACGCUUGUGAAAUGACAUAAACAAGGAGGAUUGUAUGCUCUUGAGGAGAAAGCAAAGCAAGCAUACACAACAAUUCAAGGAAAUAAAGUAAAUUUUGACAUUUGGCAUCGACGAAUGGGGCACCCUCAUGAAAAGUUUCUGAAAAUUUUACAAGAAAAACAACUCAUUGAUAUAUCGAGUUGGAAAAAAUUAGAAAAUAUUUGUAUUAAUUGUCAAAUGGCAAAAAGUUGCAAACUACCUUUUAAUUCUUCCAAUAAAGUUGCCAAGUUUCCUCUUGAGAAAAUUCAUUGUAACUUAUGGGGACCAGCCCCAAUCUUAUUUACUCAAGGAUUUAAUUAUUAUGCUAUUUUUAUUGAUGAUAGUAGCAGAUUUACGUGGCUAUAUCUCUUGAAAUUUAAAUCAAUUUUUUUAAUUGUUUCUUGGAAUUUCAAAGUUUUGCAUAAAACCAAUUUGACAGGAGAAUCAAAGUAUUCCAAAGUGAUGGAGGCGGUGAAUUUCAAUCAGGAAUAUUUAAAAAUCACUUGAAAAAUGUGGAAUUCUCUAUCAAAUUUCAUGCUCAUACACUACAUAACAAAAUGGAAUAGCUAAGAAAAGCAUAGACAUGUGGUAGAAACGGGUCCCACUCUCAUGUAUCAAGCAAAUUUACCACAAAAUUUGUGGGUUGAUGCAUUUCUCACUGCUGUACACUUGAUAAAUAGAAUGCCAUCCACAGUGUUGAAGAAAAAGAGCCAAUUUUUCUAAUUAUACAAUAAACAGCCAUACUACAAAUCAUUACGGGUAUUUGGAUGUAGAUGCUUUCCAUAUCUCAAGAAGUAUGGUAAGAGUAAAUUUAUAAAGAAAACAUACCCAUGUGUUUUCAUCGGAUAUAGCUUAAACCAAAAAGGUUAUAGAUUUUUUUAUCAGAAAACUAAGAGAGUAUAUAUAUCAAGAUCUUUGAUGAAAUGUGCUUUCCUUUUGUUAACUCUUCUAAUUAUUCUGUACAUGUUCAAACGGCAAGGACAACUUUGGAUGAGUGGGAUAAAAAGAAUAAACAAAAGAGCCCAAUUCAAAAUAAGUUACAAACUUUACAAUAUCAGGACUUCACUCCACAUUUAACUUAUUGUGAAGGAAUUAGGGACAAAGCAAAAUCUACAACACAUCAUGACAUGGAAGGGACAUUUAAAUCCAGUGAAACACUACAAGUCUCAUUGGAGGAACAAAUUCAAACUCAUACUGAAAAGAGUUCUAGCCAUAUACCAUCUACUAGAAACUCGGAUGAAACUGUUGUAUCAUAAUCAACAACUCAAAAGCAAACCUCACCACAAGUCUUAUUAGAGGAACGAACUCAAAUGGAUAUUGAAAAGAGUUUCAGCCACAUAACACCUACUAGAAACUCAGAUGAAGCUGUUGUAUCAAAAUCAAUAGCUCAAAAGCUAACUUCAAAGGAAAUAAGUGAUAAUCUUGUGGUUAAUCUAACUGGUUUUUUUAAUACUGAUACUUUUUCUAGUAAUGCAAGGCCAUCUACUAUUUCUUUGAAUUAGCACAACAUGAUUACAAGUCACAAGUUAAAGAAAAAUCCAGAAUUGGAAAAACAAAUGGCACUUACUACUCAAUUUGACUUGUCAACCUUGGAAUAAAAAACAUUCAGAUUAGCCAUGAAAACACCUUGUUGGUUAGCUGCAAUAGAGGAAGAAAUUAAGCCUUGCAUGACAACCAAACUUGGACACUUGUGCCUAGACCAAAGAAUGUAAACGUCAUUGGGUCAAAAUUGAUUUUUCAAACCAAAUUCAAAGAAAAUGGAUUGGUGGAAAGGCAUAAAGCAAGGUUGGUGGUGCAAGGAUACUCUCAAAUAGAAGGAUUGGACUUUGAGGAGACAUACAGUCCAGUGAUCAAACCAACAACAAUUAGAGCUGUUCUGGCUAUUGUUGUACAUCAAGUUGGAAAAUAAAGCAAUUAGAUGUGAAAAAUGCAUUGUUACAUGGUUUCCUUAACAAAGCCGUGUAUAUAGAGCAACCUCCAAGGUUCAAAAGUUCUGCUUCACCAGACUAUGUGUGCAAAUUAAACAUAUAUGUUUAUCGACUAAAAUAAGCACCAAGGGUGUGGUUUGAUCACUUUUCUCAAUUUUUACUUGAACUUGGUUUUGUUUGUAGCAAAGCUGAUUCAUCUAUGUUUAUUUAUAGAACUAACACCAUGAUUAUAAUGAUGUUGGUCUAUGUAUAUUAAAUUAUCGUGAUAGGAAAUAAUGAUGAAUUCAUUAAAUCUACAAUUCAAAAACUCAGCCAAGAAUUUGCAGUGAAGGAUCUUGGAAGAUUACACUAUUUCCUCAGCUUGGAAAUAAAAUAUAUCACUGAUGGUAUUUUUAUAACACAAACAAAAUAUAUCAAGGACAUCUUAGCUCAGUCAAAAAUGGAUGAAUGUUCCCAUUUUGCAACUCCGAUGGCUAUUAAGCAACAAUUCACCACUCAUGAUAAGAAAUAAACCAAUGCCACUGAAUUUCGCAAACUAGUUGGAAGCUUACAAUACUUGACAUUUACACGACCCGACAUUGUUCAUGCUGUGAAUAAGGUCUAUCAAUGCUUUCAGAAUCCAACGGAAGGAGAUCUUCGAGCCGUCAAGUAAAUACUACGAUAUUUUAAAGGAACAAUAAAUUAUGGUACUUAUUGUAUGGCAAAAAGCUCUCUAAAACUUAAUGGUUUAUGUGAUGCAGAUUGGGGAGGCUGCAAGGAGACAAGAAGAAGCACUACGGGUUAUUGUAUCUACCUAGGAGCAAAUUUCAUUUCGUGGUCAUAAAAAAGACAGCCAACAAUUGUAAGAUCAUGCAAUACAAUAUCCAAGGAAACUCAAUCAAGUGAAACUAUAUCAAAGGAUCAAUCAGCACAAUCAAAUACUGAUAUCAAUGCUUAAAAUCCUCUUUACAAGCAAGAAUAAUAGCCUUGAAUUGACUAGCCGUUAGAAAUCCAUUUUUCCUUUUUUGUUAGCUAGAAUCUCGGCUUAAACUCUAGGCACAAUCUUGUUUAUAUAUCAAACAUUUCUUUAGUAAAAGGUAGCUCACGAUUUGUUGAUUUCAAGCAUCCUGGUUUUUAUUUUUUCACCUUGCACGUUUCCGGUAAGAUUGCUUUUUGUUGACAAAUAAGUAAAAGGAUCCUAAGAAUUACAAGAGAUACAAUAUGUAGAGCAAGCAGUCGAUAUGAUAAAAUUAGGUAAAAAUUAAACUGUUUUCUUCAUGUAUCUAAUGUUGAUAUAGUUUAUACUGCUCUAAGAACUAUGUUAAGUCAAGAAAUCUUUCCUACUGCAAGAAAUAAUUAUGGGAUAAGACAAAAACUCUGGGAAUUUUUGCACUCAAACUGCUUAAAAGAGCCCAACUAUAUCAAUUCAAGAGUUGAAAGGAGGACGGGUGAGAACAAAGCCUUCCGUUUUAAAAUUUACACUAUUAGAAAAAUGGUCUUCUGUGACAUUUUUCUUAUAAUACUUUAUUCAAAAGUAUUAGUAGUUACAUGCAUUUUGGGGCAUUGUCUGUAUUUAACAAAUAAGUACCAGAAAUUACCGAGACUAUGGUGUUUUUAAAUUAAGCAUAAAAAAUUUGUGACACUAAGGUUAGUAGUUAAAAAAGUAAAAUUUUAAUUUUGUAGCUAUUAGUAAUAACUUUUACUAAGCAAAUAAAGAUUAAAAAUUAAUGUAAAUUAGCUAGAAACUGUUGAUACUAUGUCGUUUUAAUAGAUGGUGUAAAUGGAAACCCAAAAAAUUUUUGUUAAGUGAAAAAUGUAUCCCCAUGGCCGCUAAAGUUUUCUUCCUCCUUUGAAAGCACCAAAGCUCUCUUCCUUCUCUCUCCUUCUAUCUCUCUUUUUCUCUCUAACAAUGAUCCACCUCACAAACUGCCACUGUCAACCUUGAAAGCCGCCAUUCUUAAGCUAAAAUAUUCCUUUAGAAAAGGCCUAGAAAGUGUUGUGAGGAAUUUGGGUAAAGUUAGGAUUUGAAAAUUUGAAUUAGUAUUGUGGUAACUCAUUAUCUCACUCUAUAUUCUUAUUGUUUAAGUGUUUGUGUUAAUUGGUUGAUGUUUAUUGAGUGUGAAUGAGACCUUGUACUUGAUUGGAAAUCUAAAGCUUUUCCUGCUUAACAUAUAAUUUAAUAUUUAAUAAAAUAAAUAAAAAGGUUGUUGUACCAUAGGCCGAAUUCAAUUUAUUAAUUAAAAGAAUGAUUACAAUCAGCAACUAUACUGCCAAAAAAGAUGUUGCCAAAAAAGAUGUUGACUGGACUCAUCAGAUUCGAAAAAUAACUUCGUGUCGGUCUCAUGAAACAAAAAAGAUUCAGGCUUUUUCUUUUUUUUGAGCAAGAAAGCUCAUCGACAUCAUCUGUAAUAGGACAUUACUGUAACAAACCAACCAUUGGAUAAACAAUUUUUAAAGGAUUCAACUACAAAACAAGCCAAAGAAGUCUAAGUGGAUGCCAAAAGAAAAAAAAUGAAUAAAUUAAAAAAAAGGAAAUGGAAGAAGUAAACUCACCUUUAAAAGUUGCUCAAGAGUAGCUCCUCAGUAUCGCUUUCUUUAUUCUCACUCUCUAAAGUUAAAUAAGUUUCCUCAAUUUGCCUGUACCUAUAUCUGCAGAAGUUUUCUCAUCAAGACACACGAGACUUUCUCCAAGAGAAGUCUUUCUUUGGAAAUGAAGACUUCUUUGGAAUAAAAGAAGUCGGUGAAAACUUGAGAAUAAAAGGUACGAAUAAGGAUGCCAAAUAUCUAGUUAUGGAUGAAU
rnacentral:lncRNA from 1 species